CACAAAGACCUAGCCCAACCCCAUUCUAGCAAACACAACACCAACUAUGCGCACAACAAUACCAAAUGCGUAGAACCGACCUGACACCUGCACGUGUUUGUCCUCCAACGCAACAAACCCAAAAAAUAGACCAAGACUACAUAAAAUCGAGAAGACCAGCAGUGACUCAACCCAAUCGCGCGUCGUUUGCUCAUAAAAUCGGACGGAUACCAUUCUCAUUCUGUUGAGAAAGGUACGAAUUCUAGCUGUUAGCAAUCUCAUCUUUUAGAAGGGAAUUGAAAAACUUUUGAAUUUUGAAAAUGGUCCAGAUUUCCCUCCAUUUCCCCAAAAAAAAUCCUCUAUUAAAGCCCUUGUCUGACUUUUUUUUUUGGGGAAAAAAGUUUUAGGGAAAAAGGGGCCAAAAUAUUUUUGGGAGAACAGAGAAAAAAGGUUGGAAGAAAAUUUUUGAGAAGAGGCGAUAAAAAUCAAUGAUUAAGUUUUCUUUCAAAUAAUACUAAGGAAAAAUCUUGAAAAAUAGAUAAAAGAUAUGCAAAAAGAAUGAUAACAGGGAAUCAGUCCUAGUCUAGUUCGAUUCCUCUGUUUUCAUUCGGCAUAAGCUCGCUUAGAGCUCUAGGUGGUUGCUCGGAUCCGAGUCACGUGGUGGUAGAAGCUCAGUUCAUCAUUCUCCCGUUCGCUGCCCUAAGAAAGGUUUUCGAUGAAAAUGGUAUAUAGUGAUACUAAAAAUCACUUGAACUCGAAAGUUUAUAGGGCAUGACAUUUGAUCACCUCGAGUAAGUUAAGCAAGAAAAUUUUAUAUUGAACUCUCGGCUAACGCAAUGAUUGGAUCAGAAGAACUCUUUUCAACCGCCCGAAGAAUGUCUGAGGUGGAGUAUAUCUUUGAUAGACAACUCCUCGGUGUUGGAGAGAAUGCUAAUAGAUCGACUGUUUCUUGAUCAAGAACUUCUUGACACAAGAUUACAAUUUUUCAUUCAGAUAUCAAUUUUUUUGUGUGUGCAUCACCUAAAGCAAAAAUUUUCUCUAUAGAUUUAAGUUGAUCUCAAUCUUUUGCUUAGAAGUUUAAACUCAAAAGGAAGAAAGAGAUGUUGAAUUAGUAUUAUUUAUAUAUGUAAUGACCCGGACCUAGAAGGUCAGUUUUGGAAACUUUUAGAAACUUAUUGUUUUAUACAUCUAGGUAGUUUCCCAGAGUCACUUUUGAUCAAUUUGUGAAGUUGGAUUUGAAAAUUUUGAGCUAUUUGUUAAUUAUGAUUUUUUAGUUAA